rnacentral:miRNA from 13 species
AGGGCUUAGCUGGCCUGUGAAC